GACGAACGCUGGCGGCGUGCCUAAUACAUGCAAGUAGGACGCAGUUGCGAACGGGUGAGUAACGCGUAGGUAACUGCCUAUUAGAGGGGGAUAACUAUUGGAAACGAUAGCUCAUACCGCAUACUAGUAGAUGGACCUGCGUUGUAUUAGCUAGUAGGUAGGGUAAUGGCUUACCUAGCCAACGAUACCUAGCCGACCGGAGAGGGGGAUCGGCUACACGGGGACUGAGAAACGGCCCAGACUCCUACGGGAGGCAGCAGUAGGGAAUCUUCGGCAAUGGGGGGAACCCUGACCGAGCAACGCCGCGGGAGUGAAGAAGGUUUUCGGAUCGUAAAGCUCUGUUGUUAAGGAAGCGGUACUUAACCAGAAAGGGACGGCUAACUACGUGCCAGCAGCCGCGGUAAUUC
rnacentral:rRNA from 1 species